rnacentral:rRNA from 1 species
CAGCAGCCGCGGGAAAACGUAGGUGGCAAGCGUUGUCCGGAAUUAUUGGGCGUAAAGGGCUCGCAGGCGGUUUCUUAAGUCUGAUGUGAAAGCCCCCGGCUCAACCGGGGAGGGUCAUUGGAAACUGGGAAACUUGGGUGCAGAAGAGGAGAGUGGAAUUCCACGUGUAGCGGUGAAAUGCGUAGAGAUGUGGAGGAACACCAGUGGCGAAGGCGACUCUCUGGUCUGUAACUGACGCAGAGGAGCGAAAGCGUGGGGAGCGAACAGGAUUAGAUACCCGAGUAGUCCCUGUCUCUUAUCC